AACGAACGCUGGCGGCGUGCUUAAUACAUGCAAGUCGAACGAGAAAGUCUGGCUUCGGUUGGACGAGUAAAGUGGCGAACGGGUGAGUAACACGUGGAUAAUCUGCCCCUGAAUCCGGGAUAAUCCCCCGAAAGGAGGUCUAAUACCGGAUGAUACCCUUUAACGGCAUCGUUUUUGGGUCAAAGGCGGGGUAACCUGCUGUUUGGGGAUGAGUCCGCGUCCCAUUAGCUAGUUGGUAAGGUAAAAGCUUACCAAGGCGACGAUGCAUAGCCGGCCUGAGAGGGUGAACGGCCACACUGGGACUGAGACACGGCCCAGACACCUACGGGUGGCAG
rnacentral:rRNA from 1 species